rnacentral:misc_RNA from 1 species
GAUGAAGAACGUAGCGAAAUGCGAUAAGUAGUGUGAAUUGCAGAAUUCAGUGAAUUAUCGAAUCUUUGAACGCACAUUGCGCCCCUUGGUAUUCCAUGGGGCAUGCCUGUUCGAGCGUCAUUUGUACCUUCAAGCUCUGCUUGGUGUUGGGUGUUUGUCUCGCCUCUGCGUGUAGACUCGCCUCAAAACAAUUGGCAGCCGGCGUAUUGAUUUCGGAGCGCAGUACAUCUCGCGCUUUGCACUCAUAACGACGACGUCCAAAAGUACAUUUUUACACUCUUGACCUCGGAUCAGGUAGGGAUACCCGCUGAACUUAAGCAUAUCAAUAAGCGGAGGA